AGUGACUUGGUGUAGAGAGAGAAGAGGAGAGGUCCAUCCUCAUAGCAGUGAUAGGAGAGACCAUGUGAGGAUAUGACCAGUGACUUGGUCUAUAGAGAGAAGAGUAGAGGUCCAUCCUCAUAGCAGUGAUAGGAGAGACCAUGUGAUGAUAUGACCAGUGACUUGGUGUAGAGAGAGAAGAGUAGAGGUCCAUCCUCAUAGCAGUGAUAGGAGAGACCAUGUGAGGAUAUGACCAGUGACUUGGUCUAUAGAGAGAAGAGGAGAGGUCCAUCCUCAUAGCAGUGAUAGGAGAGACCAUGUGAUGAUAUGACCAGUGACUUGGUGUAGAGAGAGAAGAGGAGAGGUCCAUCCUCAUAGCAGUGAUAGGAGAGACCAUGUGAGGAUAUGACCAGUGACUUGGUGUAGAGAGAGAAGAGUAGAGGUCCAUCCUCAUAGCAGUGAUAGGAGAGACCAUGUGAUGAUAUGACCAGUGACUUGGUGUAGAGAGAGAAGAGGAGAGGUCCAUCCUCAUAGCAGUGAUAGGAGAGACCAUGUGAGGAUAUGACCAGUGACUUGGUGUAGAGAGAGAAGAGUAGAGGUCCAUCCUCAUAGCAGUGAUAGGAGAGACCAUGUGAGGAUAUGACCAGUGACUUGGUGUAGAGAGAGAAGAGGAGAGGUCCAUCCUCAUAGCAGUGAUAGGAGAGACCAUGUGAGGAUAUGACAGAGCUGAGUGACUUGGUGUAGAGAGAGAAGAGGAGAGGUCCAUCCUCAUAGCAGUGAUAGGAGAGACCAUGUGAGGAUAUGACAGAGCUGAGUGACUUGGUGUAGAGAGAGUAGAGGAGAGGUCCAUCCUCAUAGCAGUGAUAGGAGAGACCAUGUGAGGAUAUGACAGAGCUGAGUGACUUGGUGUAGAGAGAGGAGAGUAGAGGUACAUCCUCAUAGCAGUGAUAGGAGAGACCAUGUGAGGAUAUGACAGAGCUGAGUGACUUGGUGUAGAGAGAGUAGAGGAGAGGUCCAUCCUCAUAGCAGUGAUAGGAGAGACCAUGUGAGGAUAUGACCAGUGACUUGGUCUAUAGAGAGAAGAGGAGAGGUCCAUCCUCAUAGCAGUGAUAGGAGAGACCAUGUGAGGAUAUGACCAGUGACUUGGUGUAGAGAGAGAAGAGGAGAGGUCCAUCCUCAUAGCAGUGAUAGGAGAGACCAUGUGAGGAUAUGACAGAGCUGAGUGACUUGGUGUAGAGAGAGGAGAGUAGAGGUACAUCCUCAUAGCAGUGAUAGGAGAGACCAUGUGAGGAUAUGACCAGUGACUUGGUGUAGAGAGAGAAGAGGAGAGGUACAUCCUCAUAGCAGUGAUAGGAGAGACCAUGUGAGGAUAUGACCAGUGACUUGGUGUAGAGAGAGAAGAGGAGAGGUCCAUCCUCAUAGCAGUGAUAGGAGAGACCAUGUGAGGAUAUGACAGAGCUGAGUGACUUGGUGUAGAGAGAGGAGAGGAGAGGUACAUCCUCAUAGCAGUGAUAGGAGAGACCAUGUGAGGAUAUGACCAGUGACUUGGUGUAGAGAGAGAAGAGGAGAGGUCCAUCCUCAUAGCAGUGAUAGGAGAGACCAUGUGAGGAUAUGACCAGUGACUUGGUGUAGAGAGAGAAGAGGAGAGGUCCAUCCUCAUAGCAGUGAUAGGAGAGACCAUGUGAGGAUAUGACAGAGCUGAGUGACUUGGUGUAGAGAGAGAAGAGGAGAGGUCCAUCCUCAUAGCUGUGAUAGGAGAGACCAUGUGAGGAUAUGACCAGUGACUUGGUGUAGAGAGAGAAGAGGAGAGGUCCAUCCUCAUAGCAGUGAUAGGAGAGACCAUGUGAUGAUAUGACCAGUGACUUGGUCUAUAGAGAGAGAAGAGGAGAGGUCCAUCCUCAUAGCAGUGAUAGGAGAGACCAUGUGAGGAUAUGACCAGUGACUUGGUCUAUAGAGAGUAGAGGAGAGGUCCAUCCUCAUAGCAGUGAUAGGAGAGACCAUGUGAUGAUAUGACCAGUGACUUGGUCUAUAGAGAGAGAAGAGGAGAGGUCCAUCCUCAUAGCAGUGAUAGGAGAGACCAUGUGAGGAUAUGACCAGUGACUUGGUCUAUAGAGAGUAGAGGAGAGGUCCAUCCUCAUAGCAGUGAUAGGAGAGACCAUGUGAGGAUAUGACAGAGCUGAGUGACUUGGUGUAGAGAGAGAAGAGGAGAGGUCCAUCCUCAUAGCAGUGAUAGGAGAGACCAUGUGAGGAUAUGACCAGUGACUUGGUGUAGAGAGAGAAGAGGAGAGGUCCAUCCUCAUAGCAGUGAUAGGAGAGACCAUGUGAGGAUAUGACAGAGCUGAGUGACUUGGUCUAUAGAGAGAGGAGAGUAGAGGUCCAUCCUCAUAGCAGUGAUAGGAGAGACCAUGUGAGGAUAUGACCAGUGACUUGGUCUAUAGAGAGGAGAGGAGAGGUCCAUCCUCAUAGCAGUGAUAGGAGAGACCAUGUGAGGAUAUGACCAGUGACUUGGUGUAGAGAGAGUAGAGGAGAGGUCCAUCCUCAUAGCAGUGAUAGGAGAGACCAUGUGAGGAUAUGACCAGUGACUUGGUGUAGAGAGAGUAGAGGAGAGGUCCAUCCUCAUAGCAGUGAUAGGAGAGACCAUGUGAGGAUAUGACCAGUGACUUGGUGUAGAGAGAGAAGAGGAGAGGUCCAUCCUCAUAGCAGUGAUAGGAGAGACCAUGUGAGGAUAUGACAGAGCUGAGUGACUUGGUGUAGAGAGAGAAGAGGAGAGGUCCAUCCUCAUAGCAGUGAUAGGAGAGACCAUGUGAGGAUAUGACCAGUGACUUGGUGUAGAGAGAGAAGAGGAGAGGUCCAUCCUCAUAGCAGUGAUAGGAGAGACCAUGUGAGGAUAUGACAGAGCUGAGUGACUUGGUGUAGAGAGAGAAGAGGAGAGGUCCAUCCUCAUAGCAGUGAUAGGAGAGACCAUGUGAGGAUAUGACAGAGCUGAGUGACUUGGUCUAUAGAGAGAGGAGAGUAGAGGUCCAUCCUCAUAGCAGUGAUAGGAGAGACCAUGUGAGGAUAUGACCAGUGACUUGGUCUAUAGAGAGGAGAGGAGAGGUCCAUCCUCAUAGCAGUGAUAGGAGAGACCAUGUGAGGAUAUGACCAGUGACUUGGUGUAGAGAGAGUAGAGGAGAGGUCCAUCCUCAUAGCAGUGAUAGGAGAGACCAUGUGAGGAUAUGACCAGUGACUUGGUGUAGAGAGAGUAGAGGAGAGGUCCAUCCUCAUAGCAGUGAUAGGAGAGACCAUGUGAGGAUAUGACCAGUGACUUGGUGUAGAGAGAGAAGAGGAGAGGUCCAUCCUCAUAGCAGUGAUAGGAGAGACCAUGUGAGGAUAUGACCAGUGACUUGGUGUAGAGAGAGAAGAGGAGAGGUCCAUCCUCAUAGCAGUGAUAGGAGAGACCAUGUGAGGAUAUGACAGAGCUGAGUGACUUGGUGUAGAGAGAGAAGAGGAGAGGUCCAUCCUCAUAGCUGUGAUAGGAGAGACCAUGUGAGGAUAUGACCAGUGACUUGGUGUAGAGAGAGAAGAGGAGAGGUCCAUCCUCAUAGCAGUGAUAGGAGAGACCAUGUGAUGAUAUGACCAGUGACUUGGUCUAUAGAGAGAGAAGAGGAGAGGUCCAUCCUCAUAGCAGUGAUAGGAGAGACCAUGUGAGGAUAUGACCAGUGACUUGGUCUAUAGAGAGUAGAGGAGAGGUCCAUCCUCAUAGCAGUGAUAGGAGAGACCAUGUGAUGAUAUGACCAGUGACUUGGUCUAUAGAGAGAGAAGAGGAGAGGUCCAUCCUCAUAGCAGUGAUAGGAGAGACCAUGUGAGGAUAUGACCAGUGACUUGGUCUAUAGAGAGUAGAGGAGAGGUCCAUCCUCAUAGCAGUGAUAGGAGAGACCAUGUGAGGAUAUGACAGAGCUGAGUGACUUGGUGUAGAGAGAGAAGAGGAGAGGUACAUCCUCAUAGCAGUGAUAGGAGAGACCAUGUGAGGAUAUGACCAGUGACUUGGUGUAGAGAGAGAAGAGGAGAGGUCCAUCCUCAUAGCAGUGAUAGGAGAGACCAUGUGAGGAUAUGACCAGUGACUUGGUGUAGAGAGAGAAGAGGAGAGGUCCAUCCUCAUAGCAGUGAUAGGAGAGACCAUGUGAGGAUAUGACCAGUGACUUGGUGUAGAGAGAGAAGAGGAGAGGUCCAUCCUCAUAGCAGUGAUAGGAGAGACCAUGUGAGGAUAUGACAGAGCUGAGUGACUUGGUCUAUAGAGAGAGGAGAGUAGAGGUCCAUCCUCAUAGCAGUGAUAGGAGAGACCAUGUGAGGAUAUGACCAGUGACUUGGUCUAUAGAGAGGAGAGGAGAGGUCCAUCCUCAUAGCAGUGAUAGGAGAGACCAUGUGAGGAUAUGACCAGUGACUUGGUGUAGAGAGAGUAGAGGAGAGGUCCAUCCUCAUAGCAGUGAUAGGAGAGACCAUGUGAGGAUAUGACCAGUGACUUGGUGUAGAGAGAGUAGAGGAGAGGUCCAUCCUCAUAGCAGUGAUAGGAGAGACCAUGUGAGGAUAUGACCAGUGACUUGGUGUAGAGAGAGAAGAGGAGAGGUCCAUCCUCAUAGCAGUGAUAGGAGAGACCAUGUGAGGAUAUGACCAGUGACUUGGUGUAGAGAGAGAAGAGGAGAGGUCCAUCCUCAUAGCAGUGAUAGGAGAGACCAUGUGAGGAUAUGACAGAGCUGAGUGACUUGGUCUAUAGAGAGAGGAGAGUAGAGGUCCAUCCUCAUAGCAGUGAUAGGAGAGACCAUGUGAGGAUAUGACCAGUGACUUGGUGUAGAGAGAGAAGAGGAGAGGUCCAUCCUCAUAGCAGUGAUAGGAGAGACCAUGUGAGGAUAUGACAGAGCUGAGUGACUUGGUCUAUAGAGAGAGGAGAGUAGAGGUCCAUCCUCAUAGCAGUGAUAGGAGAGACCAUGUGAUGAUAUGACCAGUGACUUGGUCUAUAGAGAGAGAAGAGGAGAGGUCCAUCCUCAUAGCAGUGAUAGGAGAGACCAUGUGAUGAUAUGACCAGUGACUUGGUGUAGAGAGAGAAGAGUAGAGGUCCAUCCUCAUAGCAGUGAUAGGAGAGACCAUGUGAGGAUAUGACCAGUGACUUGGUGUAGAGAGAGAAGAGGAGAGGUCCAUCCUCAUAGCAGUGAUAGGAGAGACCAUGUGAGGAUAUGACCAGUGACUUGGUGUAGAGAGAGAAGAGGAGAGGUCCAUCCUCAUAGCAGUGAUAGGAGAGACCAUGUGAUGAUAUGACCAGUGACUUGGUGUAGAGAGAGAAGAGGAGAGGUCCAUCCUCAUAGCAGUGAUAGGAGAGACCAUGUGAUGAUAUGACCAGUGACUUGGUGUAGAGAGAGAAGAGUAGAGGUCCAUCCUCAUAGCAGUGAUAGGAGAGACCAUGUGAUGAUAUGACCAGUGACUUGGUGUAGAGAGAGAAGAGGAGAGGUCCAUCCUCAUAGCAGUGAUAGGAGAGACCAUGUGAGGAUAUGACCAGUGACUUGGUCUAUAGAGAGAG